GACGAACCGUGCGAACGUUGUUCGGAAUCACUGGGCUUAAAGGGCGCGUAGGCGGCUUGCCAAGUCAGGGGUGAAAUCCUGCAGCUUAACUGUAGAAGGGCCUUUGAUACUGGCGAGCUCGAGGGAGGUAGGGGUAUGUGGAACUUCCGGUGGAGCGGUGAAAUGCGUUGAUAUCGGAAGGAACGCCGGUGGCGAAAGCGACGUACCGGACCUCUUCUGACGCUGAGGCGCGAAAGCUAGGGGAGCAAACGGG
rnacentral:rRNA from 1 species